rnacentral:sRNA from 1 species
CGCCAUGACGAGCACCAUUCUCCUCGUAGGAACGCGCACCAGCCGGGCGGCCGCAUGGGUCGCCGGAAGCAAGCUGGUGCGCGAAAAACAGGCCCUUCCGGGGCCUUUUUAUUGGCCGAAA